GACGAACGCUGGCGGCGUGCUUAACACAUGCAAGUCGAACGGUAAGGCCCUUCGGGGUACACGAGUGGCGAACGGGUGAGUAACACGUGAGCAAUCUGCCCUUGACUCUGGGAUAACUGCGGGAAACUGUAGCUAAUACCGGAUACGAGACCUGAAGGCAUCUUCGGGUCUGGAAAGAAUUUCGGUCAAGGAUGAGCUCGCGGCCUAUCAGCUUGGUGGUGAGGUAAUGGCUCACCAAGGCGACGACAGGUAGCCGGCCUGAGAGGGUGACCGGCCACACUGGGACUGAGACACGGCCCAGACUCCUACGGGAGGCAGCAGUGGGGAAUAUUGCACAAUGGGCGAAAGCCUGAUGCAGCAACGCCGCGUGAGGGAUGAAGGCCUUCGGGUUGUAAACCUCUUUUAGCAGGGAAGAAGCGAAAGUGACGGUACCUGCAGAAAAAGCACCGGCUAACUACGUGCCAGCAGCCGCAGUAA
rnacentral:rRNA from 1 species